UACUCCUACGGGAGGCAGCAGUGGGGAAUAUUGGACAAUGGACCGAGAGUCUGAUCCAGCAAUUCUGUGUGCACGAUGAAGUUUUUCGGAAUGUAAAGUGCUUUCAGUUGGGAAGAAACAAAUGACGGUACCAACAGAAGAAGUGACGGCUAAAUACGUGCCAGCAGCCGCGGUAAUACGUAUGUCACGAGCGUUAUCCGGAUUUAUUGGGCGUAAAGCGCGUCUAGGUGGUUAUGUAAGUCUGAUGUGAAAAUGCAGGGCUCAACUCUGUAUUGCGUUGGAAACUGUAUAACUAGAGUACUGGAGAGGUAAGCGGAACUACAAGUGUAGAGGUGAAAUUCGUAGAUAUUUGUAGGAAUGCCGAUGGGGAAGCCAGCUUACUGGACAGAUACUGACGCUGAAGCGCGAAAGCGUGGGUAGCAAACAGGAUUAGAUACCCUGGUAGUCCACGCCGUAAACGAUGAUUACUAGGUGUUGGGGGUCGAACCUCAGCGCCCAAGCAAACGCGAUAAGUAAUCCGCCUGGGGAGUACGUACGCAAGUAUGAAACUCAAAUGAAUUGACGGA
rnacentral:rRNA from 1 species